AGCGAACGCUGGCGGCGUGCUUAACACAUGCAAGUCGAGCGAGAAAGGGGGCUUCGGCCCCUCGAGUACAGCGGCGAACGGGUGAGGAAUACAUGGGUAACCUACCCUCGAGUGGGGAAGUAACUAGCCGAAAGGUUAGCUAAUACCGCGUACGCUUCUUGGACUUCGGUUCAGGGAGGAAAGCGAUGCCGAGGGUAUCGCGCUCUUGGAUGGGCUCAUGUCCUAUCAGCUUGUUGGGAGGUAACGGCUCACCAAGGCUUCGACGGGUAGCUGGUCUGAGAGGACGAUCAGCCACACUGGCACUGCGACACGGGCCAGACUCCUACGGGAGGCAGCAGUAAGGAAUAUUGCGCAAUGGGCGAAAGCCUGACGCAGCGACGCCGCGUGGGGGAGUGAAGGUC
rnacentral:rRNA from 1 species